CUACGGGCUGCUCCAGUAGGGAAUAUUGCCCAAUGGACGAAAGUCUGAGGCAGCAACGCCGCGUGCGCGAUGAAGGCCUUCGGGUUGUAAAGCGCUUUUACGAGGGAAGAGAAAGGACGGUACCUCGUGAAUAAGGAUCGGCUAACUACGUGCCAGCAGCCGCGGUAACACGUAGGAUUCGAACGUUAUCCGGAUUUACUGGGCGUAAAGCGCGUGCAGGCGGUUUGGUAAGUUGGAUGUGAAAGCUCCAGGCUCAACCUGGAGGGGUCGUUCAAUACUGCCAGACUAGAGGACGUAGAGGGAGGUGGAAUUCCGGGUGUAGUGGUGAAAUGCGUAGAUAUCCGGAGGAACACCAGUGGCGAAGGCGGCCUCCUGGGCCGUUCCUGACGCUCAGACGCGAAAGCUAGGGUAGCGAACGGGAUUAGAUACCCCAGUAGUC
rnacentral:rRNA from 1 species